rnacentral:lncRNA from 1 species
AUGCCCCCCGCCCCAAGCCCUUGGAUCCGAGGCGGGUCAUUACCUCUCCCGGAGGCGGAGUGGGGGGCGGCAGCGGCAGCAGCAGACACUUUUAGCCUGACUUUCCUGCUUUCGCGUGUGAGCGUGUGCGCGCCGAGCAGGAGCUGUAACCUGCUAUUUAUAGACCGGAGCCUCAGCGCGCGGGGCUGGGCACCCGGAGGACGCGAGCAGGCGGCGGCGGCGGCGCAGGGCGCGGGCCGCUCCCGAGGCUCCCGCGGCUCCCGACUCCCGGCUCCCCGCCCGCCGCACGCGCCCGGGAGAAGUUGUCACCAGCGCGGCUGCCUCUCCGGCUGCUCACACGCCCCCUGGCACAAUUGCUACUUUCUCCCCACCCCUCCCCCACCCUCUCCGCUCCUCUUCCUCCUCCUCUACUCGUGCCAAGUGGUCUCCUCCCAAUGUCACCGGCGGCCGAGGAGAGACAGCGGCGGCGGCGACGGUCGCGCAACUGGCGCAGCUCGCUUCCCGCUACUAAAGGAGUGGAGUUGGUGUCCCCGCCGCCCAGCCCGAAAUGACCGAAACACGCUUGCUCGGUGUGCUGACCUUACACCCCCUGACCCUCUGCUGGGCCCCUCUGCGAGCAGAGACGGUCGCCCAGCCUGGGCUGUGGGAGCACCGCUGCAAAGCAGUGGUGAGGGGCGACCCAGGGCCGCCAAGCUGCGCCGGGGGCUGGAGAAACCGCGGGGAUCUCUAACCCGCGGGAGGAGGCGCCCCAGCCCUGGGCCACUGGCAGCGCCCGCCCAGAUCGAGGCGGGUGGGAGCGGGAGGCAGUGCUCCCAGUUCUUCCCCCGGACUUGCGCCUGCCCCCACCCUGGGGCCCGUCUUUCUCGCCACUGCUCGGCCUUGGCCGGAGUGGAGGUCUGGCGGGGGAGACCUGGGCACCGGCGCGGCUUCCAGCUCAGCGCAGCCCACGGCCACCCACCGUCAGCCCUCCAGUCGCGGCUGGGGAGUGAGGCCGAGCUGCUCCCAACAAGAGCGACACCCUUUGGCAGCCCGGGUGAAUGGGGACGCAUCUGCACUCUGAGUGUCUGGGGUGUCAGGAAAACAGGGGUAAAUAAGGAGGGAGGCAACAGUGUGAAGAAGCCAGCCUGGAGUUGGAACCAGAAGAUGAAUGGUUGAGGGGACUCUCUAAACUGGAACAAAUUGACAUAACAUGUAAGCAUUCUUUGGAUCAAAAAAAUACUGGACUUUCAAAAGUCAAAUGCGAUGUCAGUUCUAACUAUUCUUUAACUGUUUGUUGCAGAAAGUGUGAUCCCUAAAAGCUAGAGAAGUCACACUUAUUUCGGUGCUAGUUACAAGGAACAGAGGUACACUGGGCAGACAUGAAAUAUUACGAAUCUAGUGUUGGCUUGUCUGGUGGUCCC